CAGCAAGGCUCGGGGAAUGGACGUGACGCGACACUGGCUGGCUAGUCUGCUCUACACUCAGGGCGGCACAGCUGGUAUCAGUGCCUACAAUCAGCAAAGGCGAUAGGACUCCUAUCAACAGACAACUCCCUGGGAGGAGACAGACGCUAUGAUUAAACUAAAGGGCACCGGUAAUGUCAUUAACGCGGUGACACAGGGCUUUUAGGGGAGCACAUUCACACUGAGAAACUGCAGUCAAAGGAGCCAAAAUGGAGGAUUGUUCGGAGGUAAAAAAAACAAAAAACAUCAGAAAGCGCAAUGAUCCCGACUGCACUGUUGAGGGAUGACCGUGGCAUAGGAGUGAUGCCACCUGUCGGAAGACAAUACAUGAAGAGCUGUUUUAAAGAACCAAGUUGGAGACAGCGGCACACACAACAGGCAGAUAAAGGAGUUGGAGGAGGAGAGGAGUGGGUGGAGAAAUAUGAUGCUCACCGCAUGCCUCUCUGGUCCUUCGCACCCUGUUUAUCGCUGUCCCCGGCCGUCGAUAAUGAUUAUCAAUAUAUGACAGUUCGGCAUUCGACCGCCACCCCUCUGGGAAACGGGCCCGUCCUCCACAGGGUUCAAACGCACUGAUCAACAAGAAGCAGCUGGACGAUCGAUGGACAGAGCACAGGGAUUUACCACAGCGUGUCUCCACUCCACUGUCCAUCCAUUGACCCCCUGGGUUGUUUGACCUUCUGUCCAGUUCUCUACAAGAACUAGUCACUUAAAGUAGAUACGGAGGUCCAACCUGGCAUCCGGUGUAGAUGUAACAUAGCAAACAUAAAUCCAGGACAUCCUGCAAUUAGUAUAUGUUAUGCUUCGUAUGGUGUGUAUUAAUUUGUGGGAUACAUUCAACCGAAAUGUGUCUUCUGCAUUUAACCCAACCCCUCAAUCAGAGGUGCAAUCGACGUCUUGCUCAAGGGCAGAACGGCAGAUUUUCCCAA